rnacentral:rRNA from 1 species
UACGGAGGGUGCGAGCGUUACCGGGAUUUACUGGGUGUAAAGGGCGUGUAGGCGGUCUCUCAAGUCCGAUGCUAAAGACCGAAGCUCAACUUCGGGGGUGCGUUGGAUACUGUGAGGCUAGACGGUCGGAGAGGGUAGCGGAAUUUCCGGAGUAGCGGUGAAAUGCGCAGAUACCGGAAGGAACGCCAAUAGCGAAAGCAGCUACCUGGACGAUUUGUGACGCUGAGGCGCGAAAGCGUGGGGAGCAAACCGGAUUAGAUACCCGGGUAGUCCACGCCCUAAACGAUGAGUGCUGGGUGUCCGACAUCUGUUGGGUGCCGUAGCUAACGCGUUAAGCACUCCACCUGGGAAGUACGGUCGCAAGACUGAAACUCAAAGGAAUUGACGGGGGCCCGCACAAGCGGUGGAGCAUGUGGUUUAAUUCGAAGCAACGCGCAGAACCUUACCAGGUCUUGACAUCCACGGAACCCUGGUGAAAGCCGGGGGUGCCCGCAAGGGAGCCGUGAGACAGGUGCUGCAUGGUCGUCGUCAGCUCGUGUCGUGAGAUGUUGGGUUAAGUCCCGCAACGAGCGCAACCCUUGUUGCUAGUUGCCAUCAGUUCGGCUGGGCACUCUAGCGAGACUGCCUACGAAAGUAGGAGGAAGGCGGGGAUGACGUCUGAUCCGCAUGGCCCUUACGACCUGGGCGACACACGUGCUACAAUGCCUGCCACAAAGCGCUGCGACCCGGCAACGGGAAGCCAAUCGCAUAAAAGCAGGCUCAGUUCGGAUUGGGGUCUGCAACUCGACCCCAUGAAGCUGGAAUCGCUAGUAAUCGCGGAUCAGCCAUGCCGCGGUGAAUACGUUCCCGGGCC